CUGACAGAAUGGAAAGUGUCCUUUAUCUGAAGAGUGGAUACACUGCAGGCAGCACACAACCUCCCUUCAUCAUCUGCUGGGGCUUGAACACUCUCUUAAAGCCACCUCUACAGGGUCAGAGGAUAGUUCAGUCUCCAUGCCCCUUCAAUCCUUUGCCUCU
rnacentral:sRNA from 1 species